GAAGUGUUUUGGUUUGCUACCAAAUGGUGCUGAUGACAGGACUAACAAAGCCAAGCUCUGGCACAGCAUGUAUUGGGGUCUCGAUUUGAGGACACAAGUGAAUGCAAUCCAUUCUACCAUGGGUGUGUGCCCACAAGAUGAGACGGGAAAAACACCUCAAUUUUUAUGAGAGACUUAAAAACCUCAGAGGUGCUAACUUAUCACAACUCAUUCCAUGGAGGAAGCAGAGCACCUUUGCGACCCCAUAGGAAUUUUGUUCGAUGGAAGUUUUCAGUGCUUAGGGAGCCCUGAUGAGGUAGUACUUAUGUUGUCUGUCCCCUUGCAAAGUGGUUACCAUGUUAGUAUCCGCAUAGAAAAGUUGUGCUUUGAGAUAUUGUAGAUAUUGUUCUGAUAUAGCGUUUUGACAGAAUUAUCAUGCAUAUAGCAAAUGAAUUACUAAUAGAUACCAGAAGAAUUAGAAGAGGUGUGCUUAAAUUCAUGUACCUCAUCAGUUAAUUAAUUGUCAUGUCUUGUGCAGUGAUGAAGUGA